GGAAUUUGUGAAUUUUUGGUUUAUUGGAGAAUUUGCAUAUAUAUAAUAAGUUAUCUUGAGGAUGGGAUCCAAGUCUAAACAUGAAAUUUAUUUAUAGAUCAUAUAUACUUCAUAUUCAUAGCUUGAAGAUAAUUUUACAUUAUAUUUUUAAUAAUGUCAUGUUUAACAUGUGUACUGAGUUGUUUUCCUGUUGUGGGAAAUUGAAAAUGUAGAUAAGAACCAAAAUAAAAUACAUAUUGUGAAUGUUAUCUAAUGAGAUGGGGAAUUAGGGAUGGAGGAGGGCGAAAGGAAGGAAGGCAAAAAAAAUUAAUGAGAAAAGAAAGAAACAAACCUUUCAUAAAUAAGGAGGGGAAGAGACUUGAAGGAAAGGUAGGGGAAUGGAGAAAAAAGAUUCAUAUCAUGUAUGCUACAAAUUUCCCGUGGUUAACAUGAUCAUAAUUUACACCUAAAAUGUGCCAAUAAUCUUAAUUAAAAAACAUUUUGUGUUUGAAAACAAAAUUUCUUGCUGUGGAAUUUUCUACUUUUGGCACUGUAUCAGUAGUAAAAAGUUUUGGACUUUGAAGCAUUUCAGACUUCAGAUUUCAUAUUAGGAAUGCUCAGCCCAUAUUUGGAUAGUGAUUUGAUAAAUAUCAAUAGACUGUAAGCUUUGUGGUGAGAGUAUGAGAGCAGGCUCUUUGUCUCUACUGGUGUCAUGGUUUAUGUCAGUGACCAUUCAAGCCUCAUGCAAUCAUGGAUGUGGCCAAAUCUAGCAUUUCUGAAUGGUUCAUUGUCUAACACUUAGAUUGGUGGUAUGAGUGCUACAUCUACACAGGGGUGGAGCGAACAUACAGUGUACCUGUGGGAAGAAGGCCUGCCUUUCUCUUUUGCUGUUCAUGCUUGCUGUUUGUAUCCACCACAAACUGCUGCCUCUCAGCCAUGUCAUUUUGCCUUGGAGCCAACUGAGGAUGGACUGAAACCUCCAAUCUGUAAGAAAUAAACCCUUCAUUCUUUCAUGUUGGGCAUCAGGUAUUUUGUCUCAACAACCAGUGAAAAGUAACUAAAACAACAGGUAAUCAUUGUUUCUCAGUACUCACCUCAAUGUCUGACACAAAAAUGGUGCACUUUUGUUGACAGAAAGAAAACAAGCAGUAGCACACAAUUUUAGAUUUGUAUCACACAGAAUUUCACUACUUAUAAGGCUCUAUAGUGAAAUGAGGUCUCAUCAGAUUUCCUUAGUGUAGGCACUAAGCUUGUCAUUUCUUUUGCUUUAUUAUAGCAAAUAGUGUUCCUCUGUCCAGUUUUCAUUCUCCCUCUGGUCUUAAAAAUCACUUGUAAGCAGUUAUACAAUCUCAUGCUGGGCAUGGAACUCAAGACCUUCUAACUGCUAGGCAAGUCUCUACCUCAAGAUACAUUCCAGCCCUCCCUUUCUUAUCCUGGAAUUUAAGCUAUGGGAAUGUACUAUGGUGGAUGUUCAGUCCAAAUGACUGACCAGGGAACUGUAGUUUUAGGUCCAAGCUGAUUGAAGAUAUUUUCAAGGCUCAGACUCUUGCAUGUGGAAUAUGAAUCAAGAGGUCCAAGGCUAAGAAUCUUGCUAUUAUUUGAUGGAAGUUUUUUUGUCCCCAAGCAAUGUACUGUAGCAGAAUGAUCCCUUGCCUCAGGUGGCAGGAGCUGACUGUCAAAUACCAGGAACAGGGUCUGCAUGCUGACUCUACAAUUGCAGAAAUGACCUUAAACAGAUCCAGUCACUUUUCCAUGCUUAAUUUUCUCACUUAAAAGCAAUCACUUAUUUUAGCAGCUGUACAGAGACUGGAGGUGAGAAACAGCAUUUCCAUGGUGUUCUUGAGUCAGAGGUGGCCAGGAGAAACUGUUUGCAGCUGAUUCUUCAGCCAUGCAUCCCUGGCCAUCAAGGAAGAAGAACAAGGCUGUUGUGUUUCCCUAAGAAAAACAAGAGGACAAUGGCUUGUCCUGCAGUGGGAGGGAGCAGAGGCCUAAAUCAGGUCACCACGCAAUGGGGCUUUGAAAGUUUCACCAUUGAAUCCUCUCCCCAUCCUCUAAUUUUUCUUUUUCUGUUUGCCCCUUAAUCAUUGUUUUGAUAAUUAUGAUAAUAUUCACACAUUUCAAAAAGUCCAACAAACAAGGAGAAAAAAUUAGAAAUAUUUGCACUUUUUCUGUGUAGAAAGGUAACUAUUGUUUGUACAUUUUUAGCGUCCCUUUUCCUAUUAAUGAUUUAUUGUAGACAUGGUUCCAGGGUGACUGAUUUAGGUUGACAUCAUUGUAACAGGAAUUACUGAAAUAGGAGUUAGGAUUCUACUAGGCCUUAAGGCCAGCAGCCCCAAAACAGAAUCUUGAAGUCCAAAAUGGAGCCUGCUGAGUUGUGAUCCUCCAGGGACCUUACCGAAACAUCUGUUGACUGUCCUUCAGCUGUUCCAGACCUUUCCAGAGCAUAAUCUGGCAGGCCAUUGGCUGGAGGGUACAUGGCCUGUGCAUGGGCACUGUGUGAACACUGGUUGGCCUGCUUCGGUGACUCAAGGAAGAUGUUCAUGCGUGAGGUCCCAAGAUUAGAGAAUGUACAUGUUCAAGACAUCAGCAACAAAGACAUGAAGUUUAAAAACCAAAAAAUGACUAAGAGGAAAAAAAGCACAAAACUGAAAAUACAUGGCAGAGAUCACCCCAGGAGGCCUGAAGAGAGUCAUUGGAGUGACUGCACACAGUGGGACAGCACUGUGCACUCUGUGUGGUGAAACUGCUGGGUACUGUACAUCAAGUGUCAGAUGACGCUUUGACACCAACCACAAAAGUGUUGCUAAACUUGGUGAAACUGAAAGAUAAAGCCAAAUUUGAAGAACUUGAUUGUUCAUCGUAACACUGGUUAGAUUUGGAAAUAUGGAAAUACAAUUAUUGGAAUUUCAAGAAAAACCUGUUGGACAAAUAAUUUCUAUGACAAAUGAGCAACACUUGAGAAGACAGAGUGUGAAAGAAUGACAAAGGACAGCACAGUUGGCAGUUCUGAAAACGAAAUCCUGAGGAAAAAACUCAGCUUCUCCCGAGAAUGGGCCAUAAUGGGCCUAGGAGGAGCCCACCAAGAAAACAACCAGCCAGGCUGUCUGGCAAGCUUUAAAAGCCAUGCGAGGUCCAGGAAGAGAAAAGUCAGCUCCUCCUGUGAGACCACAAGCACAUGGGCUGAGAAUCAGCAUCGCUCUCUCCCAUAAGCAACUGGCUGGUUCUGCGGACAUGUUGAGCUGAUAGCAACUGAGGUCCAAAAAGCACCUGAAUGCUUGUAUUGCUUGCUUGACUUUGCAGGUCUGGGACCAAAGGUCUGAGCAUCUAUUGGGAGGAUAACAUAAUGAAAUAUAGCAAAUAUGGGAGAUUUUCUUCUAUCUUAUCUUUGAAAUCCAAUAUUUUUCUCAUUGUUUUGUUUCAUUCUGAUUGUUUUGCUUUUUUCAGUGUUCCAGUUUGAUGGGUUUUAUUGUUUUCUUUUGGUUUGAUUUUGCUAUAUCUUGUGGAAUGGACAGCAAUUGUGAAGAUAAUGAGAUGAACUGUGGUAGCCAUUAUUGUUUUCCUAAUAUCUUGCUUUGAAGUUCUGUGCCAAUUUCACUGCUUUGUUUUUUGCUUUGUUUUGAUUGAGUUUAUUCUGUUUUGUUUGGUUUGUUUGAUUUUUACUAUCUUUAAAGUGAAAAACAAAAUCCUUGAAGUGUGGAACUUUCUGCCAAAUAAUUUAAAAUCGGCCAUGCAUGGUGGUGCAUGCCUGUAAUUCCAGGAAUCAGGAAGUUGAGGCAGAAGGACUGGUGCAAGUUUGAGACCAGCCUGGGCUGUAAAGUGAGCUGGGGAGCAGUCUAAACUAAACUACAUAGUGAGAUCCUGUCUCAAAAAGAGCAAAAAAAAAUUAAGUCAAUGAAAGCACUGGUGAAUUCUUGUGUUACUCUGGAUCAUCUUAUGCUUGUGGGCCACUGUUUUCAGCUUAUUAAAUCUGAUACAUGAAACAGAUUAACAGAUGACUUGAGAAUUGCAUGUGUUCCUCUGAAACUAAUGCAGAAUGAGCCAACCUUUGACAAAUUAUCAGUAUGCAUACACCAGCAAAGAUAUCAUUAAUUUUGUGAAAGCAUACCAAAUGUUAACUGUCACUUUUAAGUAAAAACUUGUUUGUGUCAUAGAAAA